CCUACGGGUGGCUGCAGUGGGGAAUAUUGCACAAUGGGCGCAAGCCUGAUGCAGCCAUGCCGCGUGUGUGAAGAAGGCCUUCGGGUAGUAAAGCACUUUCAGCGGGGAGGAAGGCGGUGAGGUUAAUAACCUCAUCGAUUGACGUUACCCGCAGAAGAAGCACCGGCUAACUCCGUGCCAGCAGCCGCGGUAAUACGGAGGGUGCAAGCGUUAAUCGGAAUUACUGGGCGUAAAGCGCACGCAGGCGGUCUGUCAAGUCGGAUGUGAAAUCCCCGGGCUCAACCUGGGAACUGCAUUCGAAACUGGCAGGCUAGAGUCUUGUAGAGGGGGGUAGAAUUCCAGGUGUAGCGGUGAAAUGCGUAGAGAUCUGGAGGAAUACCGGUGGCGAAGGCGGCCCCCUGGACAAAGACGGACGCUCAGGUGCGAAAGCGUGGGGAGCAAACAGGAUUAGAUACCCCGGUAGUC
rnacentral:rRNA from 1 species